GAAAUGCCCAUUUCAACUCAGCAUCUGCCGACAGGUCUACCUAAUCUUCCAAACUCUGUGUAAAUCCUGGAUCCACCAUUUACCAGCUGUGUAACCCUGGACAACAAUUCCAUCUUUCUGACCUCAGUGUCUUUCUCUGCAAAACAGCGGUAAGAAUGAUCCUACUUCAAUAGAGUUGCUGUGAGGAUUCACUGAGAUCAUGUGUACCAAGCUCCUACAAUAGUACUGAACCCACAGCCAUGGAUCAAGACCAUUAACUUAUAAUCAGUGAUAGCCAAGAGGAUGGGAAGAGAAUAUUAAGCCUGGUGCUCUGCAAAUUAAUACUUGCAGGUAAAUGAGAAGUAUCAUAGGCAUAUUACUAUUUACUUAACGUUUCAUUCUAUUUGAAAGAGAAAUUCCCAAAUGUUAAAUACUACCCUACAUUUUAAGCUUAAAAAUACGCUGGACAUGCGACAAUGGUGCUGAGUACUUUGGGGGAAGAUCACAACAGUCCUGGUAGCAGUGUCACAGCAAAAUAUUUCAGAGGUACCAGAUGAGCUAGCUCCAAGGCAAAUGAGGCAAUAUUAUGUUUAACUGUUUGUUCGGAAACUUCUUUUAUUAAAAAAGAUUUUAAAUAUUAA
rnacentral:lncRNA from 10 species